ensembl:misc_RNA 7SK 7SK RNA
AGAUGGGAGGGCAAUCUGACUGUGACAUCUGUCACUCCAUUGAUUAUAGAUCGCCAGGAUUGAUUGAGCUGAUUUGGCUGGCUAGGCAGGUGUCCCCUUUCUCCCUCACCAUUCCAUGUGCACCCCUCCCAGAGAUGCUCAUUCAGCCAGUCAAAGAGGACCACCUUCCCAGAAAGAGGAGGAUCAUUCUUUGGUCAAGGAUAUGAGAAAUUGCACUUGACUGUUCUAACUUCCAAACAAGUUGUCAAAUAAGUUUCCUAUCAUAUGCAACCUUAUCUUUCCUUCAUGUUUAUGCAUAAACAACCAGAAAUCACCAGGAAAAAAUGUACAAGUGU